UACUCCGCUUACAGAUCAUGGGGUAGAGU
rnacentral:sRNA from 1 species